rnacentral:rRNA from 1 species
GACUUCCUGAAAUUGUGGGAGGCAAUCCAAAAUAUACACUUAACACAAGAGCCUGAUCGAGUUCAGUGGAAAUGGACAGCAGACGGCGUGUACACGGCGAGAUCGGCUUACAAGAUUCAGUUUGAGGGCUGCACUCGGCCAUCAUGGGUUGCGUUCCUUUGGAAAUCUGAUGCGCCGGGAAAAUGCAAGCUUUUUGCGUGGUUGGCGCUGCUUGGACGCUGCAACACGGCCGACGUCCUUGCGAGGAAAGGCUGGCCUCAAAAUCCGUCUUGCUCUCUAUGCAAUGGGCCAAUGGAGGAUGUAGUGCACCUGCUAGCUUCCUGUCCCGUCUCCAUCCGAAUUUGGCACAACGUCAUUGCUCGCUGCAACCUUCAUCCGGGCCUCGCUCCCGACUCCACCACAUCUUCCCUGGUGCUUUGGAUCGAGCAGUCCAAUGACAUCAUUUCUGCAUCAGCAAAGAAGCCAUGGAGCGCACUCGUACAGCUGGUUUGGUGGUCGAUAUGGAACGAAGGCAACGCAAUGAUAUUCAGAAACCAACCAUCGCCGCAAACGACUGUGGUGGAACGGAUGAUUGAAGAGGCAGCAGUCUGGAACAGGGCGGGACGGGGCAAGGCCAUCUCUCUCCUCAACAGACCAAGAGAACCAGACUAG